rnacentral:rRNA from 1 species
UACCCUUGACAUGUAUGGAACCCUGCUGAAAGGUGGGGGUGCCCGAAAGGGAGCCAUAACACAGGUGCUGCAUGGCUGUCGUCAGCUCGUGUCGUGAGAUGUUGGGUUAAGUCCCGCAACGAGCGCAACCCUUGUCCCUAGUUGCUACGCAAGAGCACUCUAGGGAGACUGCCGGUGACAAACCGGAGGAAGGUGGGGAUGACGUCAAGUCCUCAUGGCCCUUAUGGGUAGGGCUUCACACGUCAUACAAUGGUCGGAACAGAGGGUCGCCAACCCGCGAGGGGGAGCCAAUCCCAGAAAACCGAUCGUAGUCCGGAUCGCACUCUGCAACUCGAGUGCGUGAAGCUGGAAUCGCUAGUAAUCGCGGAUCAGCAUGCCGCGGUGAAUACGUUCCC